UACGUAGGGUGCAAGCGUUAAUCGGAAUUACUGGGCGUAAAGCGUGCGCAGGCGGUUCGCUGUGUCCUGUGUGAAAGCCCCGGGCUUAACCUGGGAAUGGCAUGGGAAACUGGCGGGCUGGAGUGUGGCAGAGGGGGGGGGUGGAAUUCCGCGUGUAGCAGUGAAAUGCGUAGAGAUGCGGAGGAACACCGAUGGCGAAGGCAGCCCCCUGGGCUAACACUGACGCUCAGGCACGAAAGCGUGGGAGCAACAGG
rnacentral:rRNA from 1 species